rnacentral:rRNA from 1 species
UACGAAGGGGGCUAGCGUUGCUCGGAAUUACUGGGCGUAAAGGGCGCGUAGGCGGAUGUUUAAGUCAGAGGUGAAAGCCCAGGGCUCAACCUUGGAACUGCCUUUGAUACUGGGCAUCUUGAGUAUGGGAGAGGUGAGUGGAACUCCGAGUGUAGAGGUGAAAUUCGUAGAUAUUCGGAAGAACACCAGUGGCGAAGGCGACUCACUGGCCCAUUACUGACGCUGAGGCGCGAAAAGCGUGGGGGAGCAAACAGG